ensembl:lncRNA
GUUGUCAAAAGGUUUGUUAUGUGGUUGUCAGGGUGUUGCUGUGUGGUUGUCAAAGAGAUGCUAUGCGGUUUUCAAGGUGUUUCUAUGCUGUUGUCAGGGUGUUGCAAUGCUGUUGUCAAGGUGAUGCUGUGCAGUUGUCAGGGUGUUGCAAUGCUGUUGUCAAGGUAUUGCUGUGCGGUUGUCAGGGUGUUGCGAUUCUGUUGUCAGGGUGCUGCUCUACGGUUAUCAAGGUGUUGCUAUGUGGUUUACAAGGUUAGGGUUAGGGUUAGAGUUUAAAACCAUGUGUGGGUGUCAAGGUGUUGCUAUCCGGUUGUCAAGGUGUUGCUGUGCUGUUCUCAGGAUGUUACUUUUUCGGGUGUCAAGGUGUUGCUGUGCGGUCAUCAGGGUGUUGCGAUGCUGUUGUCAAGGUGGUGCUGUGCAGUUGUAGGGUGUUGCGAUGCUGUUGUCAAGGUGUUGCUGUGCAGUUGUCAGGGUAUUGCGAUGCUGUUGUCAAGGUGUUGCUGUGCAGUUGUUAGGGUGUUGCAAUGCUGUUGUCAAGAUAUUGCUGUGCGGUUGUCAGGGUGUUGCAAUGCUGUUGUCAAGGUGUUGCUGUGCGGUCAUUAGGGUGUUGCAAUGCUGUUGUCAAGGUAUUGCUGUGCGGUUGUCAGGGUGUUGCGAUUCUGUUGUCAGGGUGCUGCUCUACGGUUAUCAAGGUGUUGCUAUGUGGUUAACAAGGUUAGGGUUAGGGUUUGAGUUUAAAACCAUGUGUGGGUGUCAAGGUGUUGCUAUCCGGUUGUCAAGGUGUUGCUGUACUGUUCUCAGGAUGAUACUUUUUCGGGUGUCAAGGUGUUGCUGUGCGGUUUUCAGGGUGUUGCAAUGCUGUUGUCAAGGUAUUGCUGUGCAGUUGUUAGGGUGUUGCGAUACUGUUGUCAAGGUGUUGCUGUGCGGUUGUUAGGGUGUUGCGAUGCUGUUGUCAAGGUGUUGCGAUGCAGUUGUUAUGGUGUUGCGAUACUGUUGUCAAGGUGUUGCUGUGCGGUUGUUAGGGUGUUGCGAUGCUGUUGUCAAGGUGUUGCGAUGCAGUUGUUAGGGUGUUGCGAUGCUGUUGUCAAGGUGUUCAAAUUGAGAAACACUGAAGACUGUCAAAGGCUGUGAGGCUGAAGGGUGGUUGUAAAGAAUUUUUGUUAUUGUACAGUGUGUCUGUAACAGGCAGUUACUGUAUAUUUUGUGUGUCCGAUGUGUCUGAUUGUGUCAUUCGUGUCUGUUGAGGGUGUGACUCUCAGAACUGUUGCGUGAGACUCACACUGUUCAGACUCACAGAUGGCUUCAGUUCUUCAUGUGAGCAUGCACAGCUGCAGACGAGCCACCCGCUGCUUCACGUCCCCAUUCCUCCGUCUGUCUUCUCCAGAACCUGAAUUACAAAUAAUUCAUUAACAAUUUCAUUCUUUAGAAAAAAACAUCUUUUUAUGCAAAUAGA